rnacentral:rRNA from 1 species
AUUGAACGCUGGCGGCAGGCCUAACACAUGCAAGUCGAACGAGUGGCGGACGGGUGAGUAAUGUCUGGGAAACUGCCCGAUGUAGGGGGAUAACUACUGGAAACGGCAGCUAAUACCGCAUACCAUCGGAUGUGCCCCGAUGGGAUGAGCGUGUAGGUGAGGUAACGGCUCACCUAGGCGACGAUCCCUAGCUGGUCUGAGAGGAUGACCAGCCACACUGGAACUGAGCCACGGUCCAGACUCCUACGGGAGGCAGCAGUGGGGAAUAUUGCACAAUGGGCGCAAGCCUGAUGCAGCCAUGCCGCGUGUAUGAAGAAGGCCUUCGGGUUGUAAAGUACUUUCAGCGGGGAGGCGUUACCCGCAGAAGAAGCACCGGCUAACUCCGUGCCAGCAGCCGCGGUAAUUC